rnacentral:rRNA from 1 species
AUACGAAGGGGGCUAGCGUUGCUCGGAAUUACUGGGCGUAAAGGGAGCGUAGGCGGACUGUUUAGUCAGAGGUGAAAGCCCAGGGCUCAACCUUGGAAUUGCCUUUGAUACUGGCAGUCUUGAGUACGGAAGAGGUAUGUGGAACUCCGAGUGUAGAGGUGAAAUUCGUAGAUAUUCGGAAGAACACCAGUGGCGAAGGCGACAUACUGGUCCGUUACUGACGCUGAGGCUCGAAAGCGUGGGGAGCAAACAGGAUUAGAAUCCCUAGUAGUCC